rnacentral:lncRNA from 1 species
AUGUUGUCUAAUAUUUUCAGUUCAGACAACAUCUUUUGUUGUCUGGUUAAAAUUUAUUCUGCUCUAGUUGACUUAUAUACAUCUCAACACUUGGGACAAAAUUAAAAAUUAAAACUUCCCUCUACUUUUGCCCUCCCAAAACAAUUGAGCCCGCCCUCAGCUCAAACUCUUUCCCAAAAACCCAAGCCAUCAUCACCUCUCUCUCCCAAAAUCGUUGUCCUCGACGAUCUCACCUCUCUCUCUCUAGAUCCAAAGUCCUGACCUCUCUCUCAUCAAUCAGCCCUAUGCCAAUAAACUCUCAGUCUUCUUUCUCACUCAUCCAUCCACAUCUCAAUCGAAGCUUUGUAGUCGUCUCCCUCAAUCGAAGCGUUGGAGGUUCUUGAAGCUAACUGCUCCCUCUUUGAGCAAGGAGUAUAUAUAAGCUUAUUUAUGGUGGAGGAGUAUAACCUUAUUGCACGUUGGUGGAGGAGUAUAAGCUGAAAUGGACAAAUCAUGGAUGCAUGGUGACAGAAGAUCGCGAGAUUUUCAGUUAGGGGUUGAAGAGAUGAUUCAGUUUGCAUUAGAGAAUGGUUGUGAUGUUAAUAGAAUAUCUUGACCUUGUUUGAAUUGUGCGCACGUUAACUAUCAUAAGGCUAGGGUUGUGAAAGAUCAUUUAGUCGAGUUUGGCAUAUAUAGAACAUACACAAAAUGGAUUAACCAUGGGGAAAAUUCAGAGAAUGAAGGGUAUUCAGAAACUAUAGAGAUGGAACCUAAUCACAUAGGUAUAGGGGGGCACGAUGAUGAGAAGUUUUCAGAAGACUCUGAUGAGUUUUUGAGGUUUGUCGAUGAUGGUGAUAAACCUCUUUACCCAGGUUGUACCCGUUUUACAAAGUUGAAUGGACAUGUUAAAACGUAUAAUCUGA